rnacentral:rRNA from 1 species
CUCGUAGGCGGUUCCGUAAGUCGGAUGUGAAAACUCAGGGCUCAACCCUGAGACGCCAUCUGAUACUGCGGUGACUAGAGUCCGGUAGGGGAGCAUGGAAUUCCUGGUGUAGCGGUGGAAUGCGCAGAUAUCAGGAGGAACACCAAUGGCGAAGGCAGUGCUCUGGGCCGGUACUGACGCUGAGGAGCGAAAGCAUGGGGAGCAAACAGGAUUAGAUACCCUGGUAGUCC